rnacentral:lncRNA from 1 species
AACCUUGCCUAACUUGAUACAAGCUUCAUUCCAUCCCUAACUUGAUGCUUCACCAAUGUUUUUACCUUGCCUUCCACUUAUUUCAAUGGGAGGGGAAAGAUUACUGAUGCAACACCUUCGUAGAGGGGAUUUUUUUUUUCAUAAAAGGUACAAGCAAAAUCUUUUACUAUCUGAGGGUAAAGGGGGUUUUGAAUUCAAUCCCUUCCCUCCUUAAAACUCCAAUUUGGCGUUUUGGAGUUUUUUAAUUGGUGGAGGCAAACGUGCGUUUCUAUGUCCUUCUCCCUUGAACUCUAUAUGAUUAUCUCUUCAUUAAACUGGGUUUUCUUGUAUUUGUUUAGGAUGAGUGCAAGCGUCUGCGUCAGAGUUCAGGAUACAUUUUCUUCUUCUUCUUU